GAUGAACGCUGGCGGCGUGCCUAAUACAUGCAAGUCGAGCGAACAGACGAGUAGCUUGCUCCUCUGACGUUAGCGGCGGACGGGUGAGUAACACGUGGAUAACCUACCUAUAAGACUGGGAUAACUUCGGGAAACCGGAGCUAAUACCGGAUAAUAUAUUGAACCGCAUGGUUCAAUAGUGAAAGACGGUUUUGCUGUCACUUAUAGAUGGAUCCGCGCCGCAUUAGCUAGUUGGUAAGGUAACGGCUUACCAAGGCAACGAUGCGUAGCCGACCUGAGAGGGUGAUCGGACACACGGGAACUGAGACACGGUCCAGACUACUACGGGAGGCAGCAGUAGGGAAUCUUCCGCAAUGGGCGAAAGCUUGACGGAGCAACGCCGCGUGAGUGAUGAAGGUCUUCGGAUCGUAAAACUCUGUUAUUAGGGAAGAACAAAUGUGUAAGUAACUAUGCACGUCUUGACGGUACCUAAUCAGAAAGCCACGGCUAACUACGUG
rnacentral:rRNA from 1 species